UACGUAGGGGGCGAGCGUUGUCCGGAUUCAUUGGGCGUAAAGCGCUUUAAGGCGGUUCGCUAAGUCGGGUGUGAAACCUCCAGGCUCAACCUGGAGACGCCACUCGAUACUGGCGUGACUAGAGUUCGGUAGGGGACCACGGAAUUCCUGGUGUAGCGGUGAAAUGCGCAGAUAUCAGGAGGAACACCAGUGGCGAAGGCGGUGGUCUGGGCCGAUACUGACGCUGAGGAGCGAAAGCGUGGGGAGCGAACAGG
rnacentral:rRNA from 1 species